AAAAAAAAAAAAAAAGCAUCCAAAUUCCAAAAUCUUGUCUGUUUUUUUUAUUUUUUGGGUUUUUUGGCCAACAGCCCAACCAACAAACCCUGAUGGAUCCCUACGACGAGCAGAGACUCAGAGCCGAAGUGAUCUACCUCCAUUAUCUUUGGCAUCAAGGACCACCCACAAACUCAAACACAAACACGAACACAGCCACUAGCACAAACACAUACGCAAACGCACACACUUUCACAAACACCACCAACGGGAAGAGGGUCAGAGGUCAGUGGAGCGAGAGACCCAAGAAAAAGCCAUUGAAUUCCGACCCACAACCCGAUUCCUCCACUACCACCACCACCCAAUCCCAAUGGCCGUGUCCGACUCCUAUCCAAGACAGCGCACCGGGAACCUCAUCUGGGUGGCCGGCAAUGAAGCCCAUUUCGGUUCCCUCCACCCGCCCCAUGUCAGCCGAAGAGCAAGCGAGGCAUUCCCAGUUUCAAUUGCAGUACACGGCUUUGGAUACUUGCCGGGAAUUCUUCUCCCGGAACGACGACGAUUCAGACAUUGAUGAUGAUGAAGAUGAAGAUGAAUGGAGCAGAGAAGGGGAUGAAUAUUGGCUUGAUGAUGAUGAUGAUGAUGGUGAUGGUGAUGAUGGUGAAAAAGAAAAUUUUGAUUUCUUUCUGAGAUUGUUUGUGGAGAACAAUGAGCUGAGGACUUAUUAUGAGGAGAAUUCUGAGGGUGGUGAGUUUGUUUGCUUAGUUUGUAGUGGGCUAGAGAAGAAGAAUUCUAAGAAGAAGAUCAUUAAGGGUUGCCAUGGGCUUCUUCAGCAUUCUAUUACUAUAUCCAAGACAGGAAAAAAAAGGGCUCAUAGAACUUUUGGAAAGGUUAUUUGUAAGGUUAUGGGUUGGGAUAUUGAUCGGCUUCCAAUGAUUGUUGCAAAGGAUGAACCUCUAGGUCGCAGUUUGGCCAAGGCAGUGGAGAUACAAGAUGAAGCAGAGGCAAAUGCUGGUAAAAUUGGAGAUGAUUCUGGUGGUGUUGCUGACAAUGCAGUAACUUUGAAUGUUAAGGAUAGUGAAACAGCUGAGGAAGUUGAAUGUGAUGGUCAACAGAAUGGUGGUGAGAAAUUAUUGACUUGUGAGGUAUCUAACAAAUCUCUAGUCUCUACUUCUGAAUGGCUGUGUGAAAAGCCCAAUGAGGAUUCCCCGUCAGCAGUGUUAGAAUGGCCUACUUUGACGCCUCAUUCAGCUUCUGCAACAAGUUCAGUAUUAGCUGAAGAUCAGUCAAGGUUUGCUGCCAUACGGUUGCAGCAGAAGGCCUUGAAAACUUGUCAAGAUUUCUUGGCAAGUAAUUCUGAGUCGGACAGUGAUGAAUUUGAGAGUCAAGAGGAGGACGAUUACAAUUUAAAGGGUGAAGAUGCAUCGGAGGAUUGCGAUGAGUUGAAGUUCUUUUUGAGGGUAUUUACGGAAGAUCACAACUUGAGGAGUUUUUAUGAGAACAAUUAUGAAAGUGGGGAGUUUUAUUGUCUAGUUUGUGCUGGGAUAAGGAAGAAAAUCUGGAAGAGGUUCACAGGUUGUGUUGCUCUUGUGCAGCAUUCAACUGCAAUAUCAAAGACAAAAAAGAAGCUAGCUCAUAGGGCUUACGGACAGAUUAUUUGUAAGGUACUUGGUUGGGAUAUUAAUCGGGUUUCAACAUCCAUGUUGGAAGGAAAGUCUCUUGGUCCAUCUUUGGCUAAGUCAGACAACUUGCAGGGUGAAUUUAAGGAAAAGUCAGACACUUGUAAAGAUUGUUUACAAUCUUCAGAAAACAAUUUGACUGGUGGUAAUCAUGACUAACAUGAAUUAGCUUUAAAGGAGGAGUCUGAUAUCCAUUCAUUAGAAUAAUGACCAUCAAAAGCUCGUGAGCUGCAGUAAAUGGUUGCACAAAGCUGCCUCCAGUGGCACUUUCUUUGAAUGCAAGGAAACUUAAUGAAGAAACAAAGACUCGCUUGGAACUUGUAAAUACAGCUUUAUCCUUCUUUUCCAUUCAAACAAAUUUUCAUCCUUUGCCUUCUCUUGUUUUGUUUUCUUGUACUUCUUUCCUUUCUGAUUAUGUUCGGAGUAGAUGAUGAAUUUAUUUUUGCUUUUUUCUUAUGAAUCAGAAGUAUUCCAUGAGCUAUGUAUGAAUUUAGCUUAAAACAUUUUUAGCAUCAGAAACUUGCUGUGUCUUGACUAGCAACUCCUGAAAUACUCGGUGUACUAACCUCUUGCAUAAGGUUAUUAGGUCCUACUUGCUUUGCUUCAUUUUUGCCUCAUUUAAAAGGUGAAACUGUUGAAUAUGGCUGUUGGGUUUAAUCAUUUUAAGUUUUCUUCUUUCGUUUUUUUGGGUAUUUAUAAACAGAUUGAUGGAUUCAAAACUGAACUAAUCAAAACUCUCAAUGAAAGCUCGAAAGGAUAAGAAGUUUUCUGAACUCAAACCUGCUCAACUUCUCUGUAUCUGUUUAUCUGCGCAAACAUGCCGAACAUGAGAAUGUCUAUUGUGUUCUUUCUAGCAUCUAUUUUCCUUAUUCAACGGAUCACCAUCACCAACUUGAGUGAGCCCUUUGUGUAAAGCUGCGAGGAAACUGAACAUGAAAGAGAGUUGCUAAUGUUAUAAUUUUCUUAUUCUAAAUUGUUUUUAUAAGUGGUUUAUUUA